rnacentral:rRNA from 1 species
CCCUUAGAUGUUCUGGGCUGCACGCGCGCGACAAUGACGUUUGCAACGAGAUUGCGAGGCCGUCAGGUCGAGCUGAUCUUGCAAGCUGCGUCGUGAUAGGGACAGUCGAUUGCAAUUAUUCGACUCGAACGAGGAAUUCCUUGUAAUCGCGCAUCAUCAGUGCGCGCUGAAUACGUCCCUGCCCUUUGUACACACCGCCCAUCGCUCCUACCGAUUGAGUGAUCCGGUGAAUGUUUUGGAUCGGCUUCAAGUUGGUUCGCGCCUCUUGCUUGCUGUGAAAUCAUGUAAACCUUAUUGCUUAGAGGAAGGAGAAGUCGUAACA